rnacentral:lncRNA from 1 species
GCCUCGGCCCGGGAGAAGCAGAGGGAGGGCCGUUCCAGAUGACAAGAAAUGGAACAGACCUGGGGCGCCUGGGUGGCUCAGCUAAACAUGCGACUUCGGCUCGGGUCGUGAUGUCCUGGUUCAUGAGUUCGAACCCCGCAUCGGGCUCUGUGCUGACAGCUCAGAGCCUGGAGCCUGCUUCCGAUUCUGCCUGUGUGUGUGUGUCUCUCUCUCUGCCCCUGCCCCAUUCGUGCUCUCUCUCUCUCUCUCUCUCUCAAAAUAAAUAAGCAUUAAAAAAAUAAUUUAAAAAAGAAAGAAAUGGAAAAGACCCAACAAGCAAAUGCCGAGUGGGGAAUUGUAUCGCCGCUCUGACAAACCAUGGAGGAGCUGGUCCGGACGGCGUCCGGGAAACUCCCGUGUGGCUGGCGUGCCCACCGACCGGGCAGAGGCCGCGGAAGAGGCCGUGUGCUCCCGUCAGAGGUGUGUCCGAAACAUCCGUGCAGAGAUGCUGUGAUGGGUACAAUGCCUGGAACGUAUUUCACAUACAACUCAAACAAUAAAGCAAACCCAGAAAAAGAGCAGGAAUUGUUCAUCUCUUGAUGGAGACGAGGAGUUUUACGUUCUCCUACUUUCUGCCGCCAGCUGCUCACAGCUCCGGGGACGACUUCCUGACCCAGAAGGACCCGGGUAAACCCGGGGCAGAGGUCACGAGGUGGAGACUUCACACAGAGACGGUGCGGCCCGGAGGAGCAGUGGCCGGGGCUUCCGGAUGCCUGGGCCACAAACACCCUCCUUUUAUCCCGACUCGAGCCGCCCAGGCCAAGGACCAGCCUGUGCCCAGGACCAGCGGACUCCGCACUCCCAGCCCCCUCUGUCACUGCCCGCUGGCUCCUGUGUUCGGUCUCGGGUCCCGUGCGGCUUCUCCCAGCAAGGACGGCGCAGCAGGCAGGCGGCUCGGUGACUCCGCAAACCGGCUUUGGAGGCGGACAGCCACUCCAAAAGAAUUCCUGGAGCUUGACCCUUCCUGGCUCAGUGCCCCGCUCUACGGUGACUGGGACGCCACACAGCGGGCCUGGGAGAGGGGACAGACAGCGCUGGACAGCAGCAGGGGGACCAGAAGACAUCCGCGGAGCUCGACUGGAAAUUUAGCCUCGGGAAAUUAUCUUGCAAACGCACAGACUCUUUCACACCGUAAUAACUACCAUGGUUCUAAAUGUGGGAUAGGAGAAAAUUGAGAAUGAUCCAAAUUUCCUAAAGGACAGUUACCAAGGACGUUAGUGUGGUCCCAGUUUGUAAUUAUGUGAUGUGAUGUUCUAUUAUAUCGUGUUAGCUGGAAGAAAACACACUGGAGGGUAGAACUGAGGGUAAUUUUUACUUCUGCUCUGCAUGGUUUCCCACAUUGGCUGCGUGGCUGUUAGUGGCAUUUGUCUGAUACCCGCCACAUCCCCAGCAUUCUAGCUAGAGCUCUAC